CACCGGCCUCUCCUGCGGGCCCAUGCUCCGGCUGGGGAGACGUUUGCCCGACUCGGGGCCCGUCCCUGCGGCUGCUGGAGCGAUGCAAACCCUCGGUUGCUUUCCUUCCAGGUUUCUUCACUUGUGUAGGUGCCCAGUCGGGACCUGCGCGUGGUGAGGACGGUGGCAAGGCGGCCGGGUCUGUCCCUGUGGCCAUCGCUACCUUUGCCACCGUGGUGACUUCUCUGUUGAACCGGCUGCAAGACGCCGAGGGCAGCAGAGCGGAGACCUACCGCGAGCUGGAGAGCGUCUUGUGGGGCGACGAGAGCCAUCUGCAGAGCUCUGAGGUGGACAGAGUGAUAGCAGUGGCGUUGGAGGACCUGCGAGCGGCCCAGGGUGGGACGGCCUCCGUGAGGACGGCGGCUAGUGAUGUCCUGGUGGCGCUGGCCCGCUCCCACUUGUGCGACGUGGUGUCGGCGCUGCAGGGCCACCUGAAGGCCCUGGAGGAGACGUCGGAGGAGUUUGUCCUCAUCACCCUGCGCAACCUCGCCACAC